GGAUGUUUGGUACAGUGAGGGGGUGUUGCAUGCUUGCGGACCAAACUCCAUGCGAAUGUACAGGAGGAGCCUAGUCAAGGGCGGAGUGGGUGGCCUGCGAGAUUGAAGGGUGUGCGGGUGCAUUGCGUGUGAUGUUCU
rnacentral:tRNA from 1 species